rnacentral:rRNA from 1 species
UAGAGUUUGAUCAUGGCUCAGAUUGAACGCUGGCGGCAGGCUUAACACAUGCAAGUCGAGCGGUAACAUUUCUAGCUUGCUAGAAGAUGACGAGCGGCGGACGGGUGAGUAAUGCUUGGGAAUAUGCCUUAUGGUGGGGGACAACAGUUGGAAACGACUGCUAAUACCGCAUAACGUCUACGGACCAAAGGGGGGGAUCUUCGGACCUCUCGCCAUUUGAUUAGCCCAAGUGAGAUUAGCUAGUUGGUAAGGUAAUGGCUUACCAAGGCGACGAUCUCUAGCUGGUUUGAGAGGAUGAUCAGCCACACUGGGACUGAGACACGGCCCAGACUCCUACGGGAGGCAGCAGUGGGGAAUAUUGCACAAUGGGCGAAAGCCUGAUGCAGCCAUGCCGCGUGUGUGAAGAAGGCCUUCGGGUUGUAAAGCACUUUCAGUUGUGAGGAAAGGUUGUAGUUUAAUAUGCUUUAGCCGUGACGUUAACAACAGAAGAAGCACCGGCUAACUUCGUGCCAGCAGCCGCGGUAAUACGAGGGGUGCAAGCGUUAAUCGGAAUUACUGGGCGUAAUGCGUUCGUAGGCGGUUUGCUAAGCAAGAUGUGAAAGCCCAGGGCUCAACCUUGGAACUGCAUUUUGAACUGGCAAGCUAGAGUACUGUAGAGGGGGGUAGAAUUUCA